CCUACGGGUGGCAGCAGUCGAGAAUCAUUCACAAUGGGGGAAACCCUGAUGGUGCGACGCCGCGUGGGGGAAUGAAGGUCUUCGGAUUGUAAACCCCUGUCAUGUGGGAGCAAAUUAAAAAGAUAGUACCACAAGAGGAAGAGACGGCUAACUCUGUGCCAGCAGCCGCGGUAAUACAGAGGUCUCAAGCGUUGUUCGGAAUCACUGGGCGGAAAGCGUGCGUAGGCUGUUUCGUAAGUCGUGUGUGAAAGGCGCGGGCUCAACCCGCGGACGGCACAUGAUACUGCGAGACUAGAGUAAUGGAGGGGGAACCGGAAUUCUCGGUGUAGCAGUGAAAUGCGUAGAUAUCGAGCGGAACACUCGUGGCGAAGGCGGGUUCCUGGACAUUAACUGACGCUGAGGCACGAAGGCCAGGGGAGCGAAAGGGAUUAGAUACCCGGGUAGUC
rnacentral:rRNA from 1 species